GGUGGUGCAUGGUUGUCGUCAGCUCGUGUCGUGAGAUGUUGGGUUAAGUCCCGCAACGAGCGCAACCCUUAUUAUCAGUUGCCAGCAUUAAGUUGGGCACUCUGGUGAGACUGCCGGUGACAAACCGGAGGAAGGUGGGGAUGACGUCAAAUCAUCAUGCCCCUUAUGACCUGGGCUACACACGUGCUACAAUGGAUGGUACAACGAGUUGCGAACUCGCGAGAGUAAGCUAAUCUCUUAAAGCCAUUCUCAGUUCGGAUUGUAGGCUGCAACUCGCCUACAUGAAGUCGGAAUCGCUAGUAAUCGCGGAUCAGCAUGCCGCGGUGAAUACGUUCCCGGGUCUUGUACACAC
rnacentral:rRNA from 1 species